UGAGGAAUAUUGGUCAAUGGGCGGGAGCCUGAACCAGCCAAGUCGCGUGAGGGAAGACGGCCCUACGGGUUGUAAACCUCUUUUACAAGGGAAUAAAGGGCACCACGGGUGGUGUUUUGCAUGUACCUUGUGAAUAAGCAUCGGCUAACUCCGUGCCAGCAGCCGCGGUAAUACGGAGGAUGCGAGCGUUAUCCGGAUUCAUUGGGUUUAAAGGGUGCGUAGGUGGCCUCUUAAGUCAGCGGUGAAAGUCAGUGGCUCAACCAUUGAACUGCCGUUGAAACUGGGGAGCUUGAGUACGUACGGGGCAGGCGGAAUGCGUGGUGUAGCGGUGAAAUGCAUAGAUAUCACGCAGAACCCCGAUCGCGAAGGCAGCCUGCCAGGCCGUGACUGACACUGAUGCACGAAAGCGUGGGUAUCGAACAGG
rnacentral:rRNA from 1 species